UUGUAAAUGAAGAAAUUAAAACUGCAAGUUGAAACUGAGUCACUGAUGGUGCCAGAUGUUUCUGGAGCAAAUCUGGGAAAGAGGGUGAGCAUUGGAAAGACACCUCCUCCUGUUAUCUUCAAGAAGCCAUUUACUGGGAAAACAAAAACUGAGCUUCGUGAUGCAUAAAUUCCAAAAUGCAGAGGCAAAUUUCUUUCCCUUUGACCACAUGUCAGAAAGGCUCGGGGUUCAGUGACUGGAGUUAUUCAUUUUUAUGUAUUUUCAUUCUCCUCUAUUCAUUUUUUUUUAUAGCUUGCUUUAUUCCAGAAAGGAUUUGAGGCAACUUGAUCAGAAGUGAAAGUUUUAAUUUUGGGUUCCAAAGAAAACAUUUCAGAAUGUGUUGCCAAAUCUUAGCUCAUCAUAAUUCGGAAUUGGACAACAUUCCUGAGCACGUGUCCCAGGCAAGAAAAAAAAAAAAAAAAAAACCACAAAAAAACAACAAAAAACCCUCCCAGGUGAUUCCUGGUGCAGUGAAGCUUGAGAACUACUGAAGGAGAGAAGAGCUGCUAACCCCCGCCCCAUAUCAACCACGUAAAACGAACUUACUACACCUCUUGGGAGAGGUAUACUGGGGUCAUGAAAGGGAAGGCUCGGUUCUCUUACUCCAUAAAAGCAUGAUUUGAUUUAAAAUUUCCUAAGAAAUUUAAUCUUCCUAAAAUUUUCAAGAAGAUAAAAACUUUAAAUAACAGAAUCACCUGAAAGCAAGAUAAGAAGAGAUUUGAAAGAUCCACGGUCCAUUUCUUGACCCUAGCUUGCCUGUGUGCACUGAAGCAGUCUGCCUCAGAUAGGCCCCAGCCUCUGCUAAUCUGGAGGCAAUCCCUAGACAGGAAGGAGGAGUCCAGGUCAACCUGCAGCCCUCACCACCAGGGCCUGCUCACCGUUUCCUGGGUGAGCCUGGAAACUGUCCACAUUUUCCACUCAAGUGUUUCAACGGCACGAAGAAAGACCCCAAACCUGGGGCAGAGCCUGAAACAGCCCGUAGAUUCGAGUUCUGUUCUCCCCCUAAACAAUUAUGCUUAACUUGUUCUCUCUUCCUUAAUGUAUCAAUGUUGAUUUUAAUGUAAAACUAAUGCCUACGAAUCACCAAACAAAUUGGACCUCAAGAAGAUGGCCCAUAUUUAUUUCUGUGGCUUCUAGCACCCACUGAUGCCCUGGUGUACACACUGGAGGUGAUGAUGAUGACAGUGAUGGUGAUGUCUGUUUUCCUGGCUAGACUUUGAGCUGCUCAAGAGUGGACACAUUCAUCUUUAUGUCCUUCACUGUGCUUAGCACCAUGCCAUCCGUGUUCAAUAAAUGGGUGUUGCCCAUAAAUGCAAGAACAAACUAACAAAUGAGUGAUAUUCUACAGCAACGAUGGGGUCUUUGGCACAUCUGCAGGGCCUGAGGCCUAGGCUCUGUUUUAGGGUGAUGCACAUUUAAUGGAGACCCGCUCUGCACCCCCAGCAGAUUUCUUGAGCUUUAUGCAACCGCUGUGGUCCUGAUGACACUGUGAAUCACAUGUCUAAGUCUCAUCUCAUCUUCCUCAUCUAUACAGGUGAUAGUGAUCAUCAUCGCUGCUCUGUCUGACUCACAGUGUUGGGAGGUUCAAAUAAUGUUAACCGUGGAGGGUGUCCAGGUUCUUGGCAUCUUGAAUGAAGAAUUGGACAAAACUCACAAACAAAGGAAAGAAUGAAGGGUUUUAUUGAAAAUGAAAGCACACUCCACAGUGUGGGAGCGGGCCUGAGUGUAGGGGCUCAAAGGCCCUGUUUACAGAGUUUUUAUGAGUUUAAAUACCCUCUACUUGGAGUACGCUGUAUGUAAACAAAGAGGGUGAAGUAAAGUUACAAAGUCAUUUAGUCGGUGUAUGCCUUAUGGAGAGGGUAUCUUAUGUUUCCUGCCUCCAGACCCUAUUUUCCUGCCUCAAUAGGAUUCACUCAUUCAACAAAUAUUCUCUGAGGGUAGUAUUUUACUUUUUUCAUGUAACACAUGCCUCACCAGGAGAAGGCAAAGUGUGAAGAAUGCUGGAUCCAGAUGAAAAGGCAGAGUGAUUUCAGAGAAACGAUAAUGAGCUGACAAGGCUGGAAUGUUACUUCCCCAGACAAGACCAGUGUCAUCAAGAAGGCCUUGGGGCUCUGCACAGGAGUCCAUGCUUUCCUUCUUCUGGCUGAAGCCACUCUUCAGCAUGAACUUGAUAGACUCUUGUUGUAGGUUUUAGGUUUUAGAAGAGAAUUGAAGUGUCAGCUCUUCUAAGGUGUGAAUAUAGUGAAGGACCUCAUUGGGAGUUCUUUCCAAAGUGUAUCUGUUUCCUCUUUUUUGUCUUCAUUUUUCGAGGAAAAAAAAAGGAAGAGAUAGAGAAGAAAAGGAGGAAAGAAAAGAAGGUGAGAUGGAGAUGGAACAUUAUUUUUUCCUAAACAGCCGUUUGCCC
rnacentral:lncRNA from 1 species